GGUGAUGAUGAUGAUGAUGAUGAUGAUGAUGAUAAUGUAAUACUCACCUCUCAGUUUGAGGAAGGGUACAACAUAGUUACAACAAUUAAAUAAAAUGUUUUUGAAAUACAAAUACACAUAGUUGAAAUGCAGAUUAAAAAUCAAUGGCAAAUGCCAAUAACAUUCACAAGUUAUAAUUGACUCAGUAAGUCUGCUUGAAGACAUGGGUAUUCGGUUCUGACAGCUGAUUUAGCUGUCAGGGCUCUUCUGGUAGGUCAUUCCAUAGUCGGGGUAGCCUAUGAAAAUGUCCUCUGGGUGAUGGUUGCCCAUUGGUUCUGGCAGGCUGGAGUAGCUGUCCCCCAGAGGACUUUAGUGUAUAGUGCUGAGUGUAUGGGAGAAGGUAGGCAACCUGGACCCAAUUGAUGUAGAGCUUUGAAGGUCAAAAUCAACACUUGAUAUUUUGGAGUUUCCAAAAGUGGUAAAGCACAUUGAAGAAGUUCAACCUUGAGGUUAACAAUGUGUGCACUACCAUCCCAAGUUCCCUUCUUGCUAGCAUGGCAAACUUCCUUAAAUUAAUUCCACCCCCCCCCCUUUUUUUUUGGAUCUGUAGUGUCAUGUAGUAUUCAUUUCCUUUUGAGUCACAGAUACUUUCUGAAUAUCUUAUGUAAAUCAAGGGGUAACUAUGCCAAUUAAUUCCUUUCCAGGAAAUAUCACAACUAAAUGUGGAAAAAUCAAAAUAUGUCGUGGAAUAUUUUUGAAAGGUAUACCUCAAAAUGUUGUCUUCUGGCUGUAUUGUUCCUGAUUGUCCCAGAGAACAGAAUAUUUUAAUGUUUUGAGCCACUGAAUCUUUUUGAAAAACUAGAUCUGGUGCAGAUUAAGAAUUGACAUUAUCUGAGGGCACAACUACUUUUAUAAUGUGUACAACACCUGAUUUUUUUCAUCUUGCAAACUUUUUUUCAAUACUACUAAAAUGAAUGACAUCUACUUUGUGAAUAUACUUCACAACCUGUCAUUUAUUUUUAAUUUUUUUCCAUAGCAUUAUAAUCCACUCUGUGGGUUUAUUAAUAUACUCUGUGCCACUUACAGACUUCAAUGGAGGCAUCUAAUGUGAUGGACCUUGGAUACUCCUUGAAAAUCUAACAACACCCUGAUAUAGAAGCUGCCAAUAUCCCCUAAAUUUUGCACUACUGAUGCAAUGUAACAGUAACAUAGUCAUAUUGCUUAUAUGUGUAUGUUCCUCCUCCCAUGUUCCUAACAAGGCCAUCAAUAUAGGGCUAUUCUCAUUUUCCUUCUCUAAAAUCCAUGAAGCUGACUCCCCAAGGAGUGAGAUAAGAGAGUAUAGAACUACGGAUGGUGUACAAUUUGCCAUGCCCCUCUAAAUCAUUCUUCCCCAUUUCCCGUUGGAUGUUUUGCUCUUCAGAUCCCAUUAUCCUCGACAGUUAUCCAUGAAGGAAGUUGUAGGUCAAACCAACUGGAAGGCAUUAGGUCAGUGGUUCUCAACCUGUGGGUCUCCAGAUGUUUUGGCCUUCAACUCCCAGAGAUCCUAACAGCUGGUAAACUGGCUGGGAUUUCUGGGAGUUGUAGGCUAAAACACCUAGGGACCCACAGGUUGAGAACCACUGCAUUAGGGUGAAAAAAAGGCUUGCCUGAAUUAAUUUGCCAUCCCUGGGUGUGGUGAAAGUUGCCUAUGUUGAAAUAAGAGUUAAUCUGGAUAAAAAUGUAUGUGAAAUUGGGAGAGGUGUGUGUGUGACUUCAGCUAAAUACCCCUAAGCAAAGUUACAUCAGUUUUAAAAGGAAGUGAACUUCAUGAAGGCAAAAAAAAGUUUUUUAAUCAAGGCAGUUCUGAGACAGUCUUGUCCAAAAAUCUAUGGAUUAUGCAGCAUUCCAAAAUAGAUCUGCAUUGUUCAAACUAGUGACUUUAAGGAUAAACUGGCCAAAGAACUUCAACAUAAUUUUCCUACCAAAAUGAAUGGCACAUCUUAACACUGUCAGGCUUGUAAAUAAUCAUCUUCACUGGUUUAAAAAAAUGUCUUGUGAGCAUACUGCUGGAAAAUUCUCCUGAGCAGUGACAUUAUCUCAAACAUGGUUGCUGGCAGAAUACUAUAGCUAUAUUCUAGUUCUUCUCUCCUGUCAGAAAACUAUAUGAGUGGAAGCAUGAAUUGCUCAUAUAAAAAAAGUGAAAGCGCACAGGGAAGCAUACAUUUAUAUAGUGAAACAAAUCAGUAACUGAAAAUGUACAUUAGUCUUUCCUUUUCCAUACAAUUACAUAGUUGGAAAGAUCAUAUCAUUGUGGUCAUACCAAGAGGAUCCCCAAAUAUGAUCCAGGAAAUGUUGAGACCAGGUGGAUAUUUUAAAACAGUUUUGGAAACUAGGUAGGCAUUAGAGUUAUUUCACAUUGGUGAAAUUGUGCCCUUUUUAAUUAGUCUCCAAGUAUCCACAAUCAUUUACACCUUUAAGUCAGCAAAUUCCAAGCAACCUUUGACAUUUUUGCUGUGUUUAACUUUUUUGACAGCUAUUUCUUAAAAACAUCAAACUACCUCAGCAGUCUUUAAUUUAUUCCCCAAAACAUUUUAAACAUGCACUUUGUAUUUUUUCAGGGUUUCUUUCUCAUUCCCAUGCUUUCCUGUUUCAAAAAGCCAUGCUAGUUAGUUUGUAGACGAUUCUAAACAAGAUUCUAAACAAUAGAAUUGCUAACCAUUGCAGAGCACACCUUUUCCAUUUCUUCCGAUUCCUAGGGUGACGUUUGCACAGAGACAGGUGCCUGCAUGUAUCUCCUAUGUUGCACUGUGAAAGAACAUGCUAUGUGUGUGGUUCCAGGUUGCAUCUCAUUUGUGGAGCUGGAUUGGGAACUAUGAGUACAGCUUGACUGGCAAUGAGAGAACUCAUAAUCCCGUUGCUUGAGAUGGGAGAUAACUUUAGAGGGUGAAUGAUGUGGUGAGAAUAUUAGCCAUCUGGGUUAAUGGAGUAAGAUGUUGAGUAAGGUCCAUAUAUAGUUGGAACAGGACCUUGGGUCUAUGAUGUGCAAUUUAAAUAUCCAGGAACAAAAACCACAGAAGCUGCUUGUAUAUGCUUAAUUUGCCUUAAAAGAGUUGUGCUUUUCCUAUUCAUAAUACUUAGUUUAUCCUGUAUUAGGAAUAUAAUUGUAUACACAUUUUUUUCAUAAAAAGAGAAGGAUGAAGUUACUGUUAGGAACAGACUAGAAAACUGAAUAGAAUGGACCAAUAAUUUCUUGGCUCCUGUUGUAUCCUGUUGCAUUAUACAAAGAUUGUGCUAACUAGUCAUUACUGUGCUUUUACUCAAAAGUUACCAUUAUCAGAGAAACAAGUUCCGAGAUGUCACCUUUGUGUUUAUGGAAAAAUGUAGAUAUAUUUCCCUCAGUACAAGCACAGGGACUUGAGUUGAACAACAUUCAUGACAGUUCUUGUGCAACAACUUGUAAACAUUGUACAAAGGUAUUUGGUAUUUUGUUUUGAGAUGAAAAUUCAAAAUAGUUAAUGAAAAGAAAUCCUUCAUGUAAAUAGCUAUAUUCAGAUUCCAUGUAUACAAACAUUCCUUUAGAGUCCAGAUUGUGAAGAGUGUCUUUAUUGGCUAGAGAUCACUGUCUUGCUUGGCAGUGGUUACAUGUGCUAUAGUAAAGAACACAGUGUGUGAAGUAUUUGGUGUACUACAGUACCAUAGUUAUUUUGGUCUGUUAAGUAAGUUGCAAUUUGUGAUGAAAUGAAGUUGAAAGUAGUGCUUCAUACAAAUUUCUUCAGUUAUAACUUGAUUUUUCUUGUAAAAAUUCAAAUGAAAACUUGAAAAUUUUAUAUAUUUGGAUUUUGUAGGGUUUUUAUUUUAUUUUAUUGCAACACAAAGUACCAAAUCAUUAAAUAAAGUACACUGUGGUCAUUUUA